CCUACGGGAGACUGCAGUGAGGAAUAUUGGUCAAUGGACGAGAGUCUGAACCAGCCAAGUAGCGUGAAGGAUGACUGCCCUAUGGGUUGUAAACUUCUUUUAUAUGGGAAUAAACUGUUCCACGUGUGGGAUUUUGUAUGUACCAUAUGAAUAAGGAUCGGCUAACUCCGUGCCAGCAGCCGCGGUAAUACGGAGGAUCCGAGCGUUAUCCGGAUUUAUUGGGUUUAAAGGGAGCGUAGGUGGAUUGUUAAGUCAGUUGUGAAAGUUUGCGGCUCAACCGUAAAAUUGCAGUUGAAACUGGCAGUCUGGAGUACAGUAGAGGUGGGCGGAAUUCGUGGUGUAGCGGUGAAAUGCUUAGAUAUCACGAAGAACUCCGAUUGCGAAGGCAGCUCACUGGACUGCAACUGACACUGAGGCUCGAAAGUGUGGGUAUCAAACAGGAUUAGAUACCCCAGUAGUC
rnacentral:rRNA from 1 species